UACGUAGGGCGCAAGCGUUAUCCGGAAUUAUUGGGCGUAAAGAGCUCGUAGGCGGUUUGCCGCGUCUGCCGUGAAAGCCCGGGGCUCAACUCCGGAUCUGCGGUGGGUACGGGCAGACUAGAGUGAUGUAGGGGAGACUGGAAUUCCUGGUGUAGCGGUGAAAUGCGCAGAUAUCAGGAGGAACACCGAUGGCGAAGGCAGGUCUCUGGGCAUUAACUGACGCUGAGGAGCGAAAGCAUGGGGAGCGAACAGG
rnacentral:rRNA from 1 species